AUUAAUUUUAAACGCAAAAAUAGACAGUUCACAUACUCCUUCCUAGUAUUCCGCCGCUCUUGACCCGAAGCAAUACACCAUCACCUUCGUACAGAAGCGAAUCCAAUGGAGGCUGCAGCGGUGCCAGCGCAUAUGAUUGGAGAAAAGGCGGGGAUCUUGGCGGAGGACUUCGAUCUGACGGCUGUGGUUGACGUUGAGCCUCUGCCUCCGGUUGUGACGUCGGAUGAUGUUGUGGGAAGUAAAGAAGGGAAGAAUCAAAAUGGCGGAGAGAUUGUGUUAGGCAGAAAUGUGCACACCGAGUGUCUUGAGGUCACAGAGCCCGAUGCUAACGAUGAGUUCACUGGUGAUAGGGAGGCUUAUAUGGCUAGCGUUUUGGCUAGGUAUCGAAAGACCUUGGUUGAAAGAACCAAGCAUCAUUUAGGUUAUCCUUAUAAUCUGGACUUUGAUUAUGGUGCUUUGGGACAGUUGCAGCAUUUCUCCAUAAACAAUCUUGGUGAUCCAUUUAUUGAGAGUAACUAUGGUGUCCAUUCAAGACAGUUUGAAGUUGGUGUUUUAGAUUGGUUUGCCCGUCUAUGGGAGAUAGAGAAAAGUGAAUACUGGGGUUACAUGACAAACUGCGGUACAGAAGGAAAUCUUCAUGGGAUUUUAGUAGGGAGGGAAGUGUUUCCAGAUGGAAUUCUGUAUGCAUCACGAGAGUCGCAUUAUUCUGUCUUCAAAGCAGCUCGCAUGUAUAGAAUGGAAUGUGCGAAGAUUGACUGUCUGAUCUCUGGUGAAAUUGAUUGUGCUGAUUUUAAAAUUAAACUACUUGCUAACAAGGACAAACCAGCCAUCAUCAAUGUUAAUAUAGGCACAACUGUCAAAGGAGCUGUUGAUGACCUUGAUCUUGUCAUACAAACCCUUGAAGAAAGUGGAUUUACACAUGAUCGGUUUUACAUCCACUGUGAUGGAGCUUUGUUUGGACUUAUGAUGCCUUUUGUCAAGCGUGCGCCAAAGGUCACUUUCAAAAAGCCCAUUGGAAGCGUGAGUGUUUCUGGUCACAAGUUUGUUGGCUGUCCAAUGUCAUGUGGUGUGCAGAUAACAAGGAUGGAACACAUUAAUGCUCUCUCAAGGAAUGUUUAGUACCUCACUUCAAGGGUUGCCACAAUCAUGGGUAGCCGCAAUGGCCAUGCUCCUAUCUUCCUUUGGUACACCCUCAACAGAAAAGGCUACAGAGGAUUCCAGAAAGAAGUGCAAAAGUGUCUCAGAAACGCUCAUUACUUGAAGGACUGCCUACGUAAUGCUGGGAUCAGUGCUAUGUUGAAUGAAUUCAGCAAUACAGUUGUAUUUGAGCGUCCUCAAGAUGAGCAGUUUGUGCGCAGGUGGCAACUAGCUUGUCAAGGGAAUAUUGCACAUGUAGUGGUGAUUUUGACUCACUGUAAGACAGGCCACUGUCUGGUUCAAAACCAAACCAGUUCAAUCCGAAAUCAAAACCCGUUAAAUCUAACUGAAAUUGGAUCUAAACUUAACAGUCUAAUUUUGGGAUGAAAGCCUAAGAAGAAAAAAUUUUUUAUCAUUAGAUUUGGUCAAAAUCGAAGUGAAUCAAAUUUAAAACCAAUAUCGAUAUCAUAACCAGAUUAAAACAGAAACUAAGAGGAUCAUUUGGUCUCGUUUCAGUCCCCUUGGCUUUCAGGCCAGCCCCCAAGCCGGCCCUUGUCACACUUAGAGAUUCCAAGCAUGAGCUGUUCCCUUGGGGGCGGAGUUUUAUCACCUUAUAUUUCUACGCAUUUUCUUGCUUUAUUCUAACACUUUCGAUUCCUUUUAACAAAGACACAAAUGACAUGGCAUAAAAUUGAUAGGAGUAUGAUUAAGAUGUACUCAAUGAGCUACUAUUCUGAUUUUGGUUUCCUUUGCUGGCUUUUGUUCAUGAAAUGUUGAAUAUCUGGAGGCUUCAAAACUAUGACAGCAGGCCAAAUCUGUAAUUAAUUUCCACUCUAUAUCAGAUAAGUUUGUGCUGGAUGAAGAAGAAUGGUGGUCAAUUUGAAGGUGGCCUGAUUGUUUGCAUUGCAGACUUACUCUAGUGAGAAGGGUUUUCUUGCAUUCAUACUUGAUGGGAAAAUACAACUGUUACAUCCUUUUUAGCUUGUGCUAUUUUUUUUUUGGAUUUUAAGUGCCCGGUUUCCAUGCUCAGGUAAAGCCCUCCAAACAAUAGGACUGGCUUUGAAAUUAUUUCUUCCAUCUAUGCUUGUGGGAGUUUUACAGUGGUUCAACUAUAAUUGGAUAUUUGUUUUUUGGCAUCCGCACUAGUGUUGGCUGGACAGAGUCAUCUUUCUCCAUGGGUCUCCAUCUGUUAUAAACAUCAUGAUAUCAGAAUUAAAGACUUAACUUCAGGGAGGAAGAGUUGUUGGAUGAAGUAUAUGCUGCUUUUGCAGAAAAAAUUUUUAUGUGCAAUAUGCAUGCCCUUUUUCGUAAUUGUCAUUCAUUCAAUGUGUUUCUUUCAUCUUACUUGUAUCUGGUGAUCAGGUGAUGGAUGAAGACACAGAUUUCCAGUUUGGCCAGGUUGAUUCCAGGGCACAUACGAGGUGAGAGGAAAGAAAAUGGGAUGCUGAUGAUGAAGUGAGAGGUAAUUACAUCAAAUCUGGAGGGACUGAACCUAUAGGGAUCAGGAAAGACUUCUGGAUCAUGGUGAAUAGAGACGACAUCCAAGUUGAUUGACCAGCCUUUCUUGAUUUUACAUCCUGCAAUGUUGAGGUAGAGCAAAUGCCACUGUUUAUAUUUUGUUAGAAAUAUAUCAUCUUUCACUGUGUGCUUUUUGGAUUCAUACCAUCAAUUUCAAAGUCCUGGGCAGCUUUUCUUGAAAACCAAGGUAAUAUUGUAGCUCUUCGAAGAGUCUCACUGAUUACCUGAACUUCAUGGAAGGGCCUAUGAUUGAUACAUGGGAAGAUUUUGAUAGAUAAUGUAAUUAUAAUAAAUUUGCAAUUUGCUUCUCACUUUGUUUGUGUAAGGCAUGUUAUUAACUUCAGACCAUGUAAGAUUUGCUCCCUCUGUUCUUUUUGAUUGGAUUUGUCUAUGCUCCUCCUGCAAGUCAAAAUCAAUUCCAAUUAGAGGUGAUAAGCUCAAACUAUUUUUUUUUUAUCACUAGAUGUUUGAGGUUAAAAUUACUCGAAGUUGUUCAAGAACUCCAGGAUUUUCAUCAAGAAAUUUGAUGAGCCAGGUAAGAGCAGCUGUUGUGGUAUCAUGACCUGCAACUAGUAGAGUUAAUAUAUUAUCCUUCAGUUGUUUGUCAGUAAGUUUAUCUCCAUCUUCUUCUUCAUUUCCUCCUUUGGUAUGCUUCAUUAUCAGUGAUUCUAGGAAAUCUUGUUGAAAGCUUUUGCCAGUUCUCCUCAUUGCAAUGAUUGAAUCUAGCAUUGCAUACAUCCUAUCCCUAGCCUGAAGAGGUGGAAUAUUGCAUCAGAAAAUUUUGAAAUAUCAAGCAGCAUUGUCUAGAAAGAAAACAAGGUAUGCCUUUGAUUUUGUCUUCCAUGGCCGAGAUUAGUUGCUUCAUAUUCAUGCUAGUAAAAAUAAAUGAGGUGCAUUGAAGUGAUACCUUAAUACCAUUAUGAAAAGCUGUUCCGGGGAUCUUGAAUGGCAGGGAUGCGAAUGAGGAAGAAAUGAUUUUGAAAUUCGACCGAAACUUUUCCUGCUCUUCUCCAGCGGGUUCUAGGCUCAUUAUCAUAUUGCCAAUUACUUUGAGAGUGAACUGUAAAAAGUUCGAGCUUCAGUUACAUCAUUGUAAACAAUGCAAACGGAAAAUGUUCUCUUUUUCUUUUGUUAUUAAGACUUAACUGUAGAAGCCUCUUCAAGGACAAAUACUUUUCUUCCAGGCCAAUGAUCUAAUGUUUCAAUCGCCAGAGCGUUGAUGAAAUGAAAAUAUUUUUUUAGCCCAUCAACUGAUAGGGGUUCUGCAAUCAGUCGCCGUAGCCUUUUGUGUGCUUCUCCGGUGGUUUGGAGCAAGCUUGUAGGGCCUAGUACUUGUUGCCCUGUAUAGAAAAGAUUCAAGCUCACCAUCCCAUCUUUUCCUGUUAACAAGAUUUUGCUUGCUUCUCUUCCAGUCAUGAACACAGUGAAUCUCCCCAGGACAAAACUCUUGAAAACCUUUCCAUAUCUGAGUAAAUUCCAUGAGUACAGAGAGAAAUAGAAGAAAAUAAUCAGAUAGUUUUUGUAGCAAAAUUGAUACAGAUAGAUUUUGAAUAUGAUCAAUUACCUUUCCUGCCUCUUUUUCAUGAAGCUGUAUAUACCAGAUGGACUAGAAAAUUCAGAAAUGAAAGAGAAGCUUUCACCAACAAUAGGCCAGCCCAAGGUUCCUGGGAUUUCCUCCACUGCUUUUGGUGAAAUCCAUAAAUGCAGCAAGAAGAAAGCUGAAAACAGAAACGUGCUAACAAGAACAAAGAUCACUAAUAUGGGCUCCAUUGCUAGUCACCUGAUAACUAGGCAGCACCAAAUGUUGAGGUAACAAUAAUGAUAUGUUCAAUAUAUAUAGAGUGAUCAGCAAUGAAUUCUCCUGUAUAUUCUUUGUUGUCUUUUCAUCUCUGCUAUCACUAGUAAUCUUGGCUGCACAUGUGAUAUUUUGUAAUUUAUGAAGAAAUCCAACAAUAUGUUCGAUUUUCUCCAUGAUGCUAGCCUGCACCACCUUGUAGUUAUUAACGGCAUCUAUGUAAUGAAUAGGGAGUCUUCUUAAUUCUCCUCCUUGUUUAUGCAUAGACACAAGGAGAAUAAACAAAUUGCUGGAUACUUCUGAUUCGAUGGGAUGUAAACUCUGGCUCUAAAACAUGGCAAAU
rnacentral:misc_RNA from 1 species